GGCUCGUUGGUCUAGGGGUAUGAUUCUCGCCCGGGUCGCGAGAGGUCCCGAGUUCAACUCCCCGGACGAGCCC
rnacentral:tRNA from 1 species